rnacentral:rRNA from 1 species
GACGAACGCUGGCGGCGUGCUUAACACAUGCAAGUCGAACGGACAGGCCCUGCUCUUGUGGGGUGCUCGAGUGGCGAACGGGUGAGUAACACGUGAGUAACCUGCCCUUGACUUUGGGAUAACUUCAGGAAACUGGGGCUAAUACCGGAUAGGAGCUCCUGCUGCAUGGUGGGGGUUGGAAAGUUUCGGCGGUUGGGGAUGGACUCGCGGCUUAUCAGCUUGUUGGUGGGGUAGUGACUUACCAAGCCUUUGACGGGUAGCCGGCCUGAGAGGGUGACCGGCCACAAUGGGACUGAGAUACGGCCCAGACGCCUACGGGCGGCAGCAGUGGGGAAUAUUGCACAAUGGGCGGAAGCCUGAUGCAGCAACGCCGCGUGCGGGAUGACGGCCUUCGGGGUGUAAACCGCUUUCGCCUGUGACGAAGCGUGAGUGACGGUAAUGGGUAAAGAAGCACCGGCUAACUACGUG